AAGUGGCAUGAAUGUUUGUUUUGACGAGUGUAACGACCGGUGUUACGACGCUUGUUGCGUUGGUAUCUUCGUUUAUAGCGUUGGGGUGAUGAUCGACGUGGGAUGUACGCGAGAUGCGGUUAUGGUUCCCCUCCCCCAAUUGUCUGCUUCCGUUCACUUCUCUCCUUCCCUCCUCGCCGUUCCUCCUCCUCCAACAAACCAUUGAUCCUCUCGCCGCCUCCUAACAAACAUUGAUCGCUGACGUCUCAUCGUCGAACUCUCGCGACGGCGGCAGCUCGUUCAGAUAUUCGAGGGACUGGUGCUCGCCAGGAAAUGAUACUGCCGGCUGUACGCGAUGGCGAUGAAUCCGAUAGAGGCUUGCGUUGAUCGCCUGGACGUGGAUCCGACCUGCCAGAUGGAUGCAGCAUGAAUAGUGUCUUCUUUGGAAUCUUGUUGAAGGUUUUUUUAGCAUAUUUGCAGAGUUGAUAAAGCGAACUGACAAGGACAAGGCUUGAGCCUCAUCCUGUCCGGGCUUUUGCUUCGAGGGGAGAACUUGAUAUUGCCAAAUCAGAUUGCACUUUCGAAAGGUUCUCGAGUUCGUACGAAACAGCUACAACUCGAGUUCGUGGAGUGUCACAAGAAUUCUGGCGGGAAAUUACGAACUCCAAAUAGCCGCGGCAGAGCUCACAGCAAAUGCUGCGUUAUUUACCUGCAAAGAUUGAUAAUUCAAAUUCUCAUUCGAGAAGUUUUUAAGAAUAAACAAUCUAAAACAAUAAAAAACAAACUUCCUGAUAACGGAACAAGAAGAAAUUGACGGAUUUAGUUGGCAUCCACAGUAUAAAAUAAAAAUAAAAUAAAAGUGUAUUCAACACUCCUCAGAGUCAUCUCCAAAGCGACCGUUGUUAUAAACAAUAAAGAUGCCUAAAUUUUUUAUUAUAUACACAAAUUUAGUCCAUGUACAAACUCAGAUGUCGUGGAAAACCACUGACGACAGCCGAUCUAUGAAAUUUGUAUGAAAUUUCUUUUUAUAUCCUAUUUGGUGAAUGUCUUAUCACUUAACAUAACUAUUGCACCAACACAAUGAUUUGCAACCUAAACUCCCCAAAAAUUUCACGGAACCACAAUCCAACAAAUGUAAAAUGUCAAAAGCCUAUUAACAGUAAUUAUAAAAUGUCAAAAGCAUAUUUAUAAAUUUAAUGCACCUAACAUCAAAUUUAAUCAUGCAAAAUGUCAAAAGCCUAUUAACAGUAAUUAUGAUAACACAAAAUGUCUGCAUUACCCCAUAGUAUAAAAAAAUUUAAGCUCCAAAGACACAAACCUUCUGUCGUUCUUCAGGAAUCAACCACAAUUUUUGUUGGCACCAAGAGUGCAGAAUAAACUGGUUGUUCUUUAUCGAAGGUUGUUUGAUUUAAACUGUCAGUCUCUUUCCCAAGACUAAAUGUGUGUUGUAUUUAUAUUUACUCUUUUUAAUUUGAACCAUUGUUUUCUAAACCUUAAUAAAAUCGAAUAUCAUUGCUAGUACACACUCCUAAAAGUGAACAGAUACAUUAAACUUAUUUAAUAUACAACAAACAAUGACAUAAUUAGCAAAGUCACCUGUUUUAAACUAUGGAUGCUUACUCUGAACCAUGAUCUUCAUUCCCAGCAUAUUCUUCUUUUCGAAAAGUGAACACAUACAUCAAACAUAAGACUACAUGUGUCUAAUCAGUUCACAUACAUCAAACACAUGCCACAAUUUUUUUGAUCCAAGCAAAUCAGAGUUUACAAAAGUUCUUUUCAACCAUUUCUUAUGGGCUUCAAUGAGUAAACAUCACCUGUUUUAACAUACAUCACCUGUUUUAACAAUAUUUUCCACAAACUCAAAACAUUGCAGGUGUACACAUUAUUUAAACCAUGGAAAUCUUUUUCUUUUUUUUUUAUGCAUCCGGUCUCAGUGGUGCAUGCAUUUUAAUUAAAUUUCAAGCCCAGGUUUCCAAACAUCAACUUGUUUCAUCCACCAAUAUUAACUAUGGGUAAACAUCAAAUGUUGCAAAAAGUAGAUAUUAUCAUCACUGAAACCUAAAAUUGAAAUUGUCGGCCAAGGACAUCGACAUCCAAUAAUUGCAACUUAGAACAAUCAUUUUUAUAAUUUUAGAAAAAAAUUAAAAUCAGUGAAACUGAGACAUUAACAAUUUCCUAAGUGCACAGCCAACAGACCUCAUCUGGUUGAGAGAAGUUUGUUCUACAA